rnacentral:rRNA from 1 species
AGUGAACGCUGGCGGUAGGCCUAACACAUGCAAGUCGAACGGCAGCACAGUAAGAGCUUGCUCUUACGGGUGGCGAGUGGCGGGCGGGUGAGGAAUACAUCGGAAUCUACUUUUUCGUGGGGGAUAACGUAGGGAAACUUACGCUAAUACCGCAUACGACCUACGGGUGAAAGCAGGGGAUCUUCGGACCUUGCACGAUUGAAUGAGCCGAUGUCGGAUUAGCUAGUUGGCGGGGUAAAGGCCCACCAAGGCGACGAUCCGUAGCUGGUCUGAGAGGAUGAUCAGCCACACUGGAACUGAGACACGGUCCAGACUCCUACGGGAGGCAGCAGUGGGGAAUAUUGGACAAUGGGCGCAAGCCUGAUCCAGCCAUACCGCGUGGGUGAAGAAGGCCUUCGGGUUGUAAAGCCCUUUUGUUGGGAAAGAAAAGCAGCAGGUUAAUACCCCGCUGUUCUGACGGUACCCAAAGAAUAAGCACCGGCUAACUUCGUG